GGAUUAGAUACCCUGGUAGUCCACGCCGUAAACGAUGUCUACUAGCCGUUGGGCUCCUUGAGAGCUUUGUGGCGCGGCUAACGCACUAAGUAGACCGCCUGGGGAGUACGGUCGCAAGAUUAAAACUCAAAUGAAUUGACGGGGGCCCGCACAAGCGGUGGAGCAUGUGGUUUAAUUCGAAGCAACGCGAAGAACCUUACCAGCCCUUGACAUCUUCGGAACUUGGUAGAGAUACCUUGGUGCCUUCGGGAACCGAAUGACAGGUGUUGCAUGGCUGUCGUCAGCUCGUGCCG
rnacentral:rRNA from 1 species